rnacentral:rRNA from 1 species
CAGUCCGAGUGAUUCCUGAUAAAGGAGUCUUUUGCUUGUCCUAAAAGCACAGGUGAAUAAGGGGUGGGCAAGUCUGGUGUCAGCCGCCGCGGUAAUACCAGCACCUCGAGUGGUCAGGACGUUUAUUGGGCCUAAAGCAUCCGUAGCCGGCUCUGCAAGUCUUCGGUUAAAUCCACCUGCUCAACAGAUGGGCUGCUGGAGAUACUACAGAGCUAGGGAGUGGGAGAGGCAGACGGUAUUCAGUGGGUAGGGGUAAAAUCCUCUGAUCCAUUGAGGACCACCAGUGGCGAAGGCGGUCUGCCAGAACACGUUCGACGGUGAGGGAUGAAAGCUGGGGGAGCAAACCGGAUUAGAUACCCGGGUAGUCCCAGCUGUAAACGAUGCAAACUCGGUGAUGCAUUGGCUUAUGGCCAAUGCAGUGCCGCAGGGAAGCCGUUAAGUUUGCCGCCUGGGAAGUACGGACGCAAGUCUGAAACUUAAAGGAAUUGGCGGGGGAGCACCACAAGGGGUGAAGCCUGCGGUUCAAUUGGAGUCAACGCCAGGAAUCUUACCCGGGGAGACAGCAGAAUGAAGGUCAAGCUGAAGACUUUACCAGACAAGCUGAGAGGUGGUGCAUGGCC